AUGCAAACUGGUCACUAUCUUGGA
rnacentral:siRNA from 1 species